rnacentral:rRNA from 1 species
CCUACGGGAGGCAGCAGUAGGGAAUUUUCGGCAAUGGGGGGAACCCUGACCGAGCAACGCCGCGUGAACGAAGAAGUUAUUCGUAAUGUAAAGUUCUUUUAACCGGGAAGAAAAAGCAGUUUCACGGUACCUGAAGAAUAAGCUCCGACGAACUACGUGCCAGAAGCCGCGGUAAGAGGGAGGGAUCGAGCGGUAUCCGUGAUUAUUGGGCGUAAAGGGUGGGUUGAUGGCCUAGUAAGUCCUUGGGAAAAAUGCUGGGCUAAACCCAGUAGGGCAAAAGAUACGGGAAAGCUCGAGUAUGACAGAGGCAAGUGGAAUGACAGGUGUAGCGGUAAAAUGCGUAAAUAUAUGGAAGAACACCAGUGGCGAAGGCGGCUUGCUGGGUCGAUACUGACGUUGAGGCACGAAAGCGUGGGGAGCAAACAGGAUUAGAUACCCGUGUAGUC